rnacentral:misc_RNA from 1 species
AGUCGUAACAAGGUAUCCGUAGGUGAACCUGCGGAUGGAUCAUUAAAGAUAUUUGAUGAAUUGGUAGUGUGAACUGUUUAAUGUUAGUUGACGUAGUACUAUGGUACCUGGUAGUCUAAAAGUUUGUUUACCAAACAAAAGACUAGUUGACUCAAUGCACUAUGCCUUGUCAGGUAGUACCUCUAGUCUGAAGUUUGUUUACCAAACAAAAGACUUUUGACUAGAACAUACACUAUGUCAACUUGUAUAUUUUACUACUAAAUUUCAAGUGUCAUUGUACACAAACAAAAGUUUUACAACUUUUAGCAAUGGAUCUCUUGGCUCUC